UCAUAUAGACAGUAACAAAUCAUACAAGGACUAUAAUUAGAAGAUUUUUCACUAAGGAAAUUUAGAAAUAUUACCCCAGGUUAUUAAAUGAUCUAAAUCACUUGAGAAAUAAAGAAAUGAUGGCUCAUAUUGGAUAAAGAAGAUAGGAAAAAAA